UACGUAGGGUGCGAGCGUUGCCCGGAUUUAUUGGGCGUAAAGGGCGCGUAGGCGGCUCGGCACGUCCGUUGUGAAAUCGCCCGGCUCAACUGGGCGGGGUCAGCGGAUACGGUCGAGCUUGAGCAAGCUAGGGGGCAAUGGAAUUCCCGGUGUAGUGGUGGAAUGCGUAGAUAUCGGGAGGAACACCAGUGGCGAAGGCGGUUGCCUGGAGCUUUGCUGACGCUGAUGCGCGAAAGCGUGGGGAGCGAACGAGG
rnacentral:rRNA from 1 species